AGUGAACGCUGGCGGUAGGCCUAACACAUGCAAGUCGAACGGCAGCACAGUAAGAGCUUGCUCUUACGGGUGGCGAGUGGCGGACGGGUGAGGAAUACAUCGGAAUCUACUUUUUCGUGGGGGAUAACGUAGGGAAACUUACGCUAAUACCGCAUACGACCUACGGGUGAAAGCAGGGGAUCUUCGGACCUUGCGCGAUUGAAUGAGCCGAUGUCGGAUUAGCUGGUUGGCGGGGUAAAGGCCCACCAAGGCGACGAUCCGUAGCUGGUCUGAGAGGAUGAUCAGCCACACUGGAACUGAGACACGGUCCAGACUCCUACGGGAGGCAGCAGUGGGGAAUAUUGGACAAUGGGCGCAAGCCUGAUCCAGCCAUACCGCAUGGGUGAAGAAGGCCUUCGGGUUGUAAAGCCCUUUUGUUGGGAAAGAAAAGCAGCAGGUUAAUACCCCGCUGUUCUGACGGUACCCAAAGAAUAAGCACCGGCUAACUUCGUG
rnacentral:rRNA from 1 species